rnacentral:lncRNA from 1 species
AAAAGCAACAAGGAAAUGGGGUGUUACCGAUAUAAGGGUAACAAACUCAGGAAGAAUGAAUAUCUAAGACCGGUAUAAGGGUGAGAGAUAUCAAUCAACCAACAUCUGAGAAAGACCUGAAAAGGUACAUCAACUCAGGAAAAUCUGACUCCACAGGGGACCAAGGUCAUAAUAGGGAGCAGACAGGAGGGAACACCAGGGAUACCGAAG